rnacentral:lncRNA from 1 species
GGGGGCUAUGAUGAACAAUAUUGUCCUGCAUUUUUUUAGCUGUAAUCUCUGUCCUGCCUCUGUUCAGUCCUGCCUUUUUUUUUUUUAGUUUAUCCUGAUUUUUUUUUACCUAAAUUGUCGUCCUGACUUUUUUUUUGUAAGUGUCUCAUCCUGCCUUUUUUUUACUAAAAACUCUUGUCCUGCCUAUUUUUUUCAAAUUUCAUCCUAG